ACGAACGCUGGCGGCGUGCUUGAUACAUGCAAGUCAAGGAGAAAAUUUCNUUCGGGAAAUAAGUAAACUGGCGAACGGGUGAGUAACACGUAGGCAACCUGCCUUAGAGAUUGGGAUAACUCCGGGAAACCGGUGCUAAUACCGAAUGAUGCAACGGAUCCUUCGGGAUAUGUUGUUAAAGCGGGCUUCGGCUCGCACUUUAAGAUGGGCCUGCGUCCGAUUAGCUUGUUGGUGGGGUAACGGCUUACCAAGGCGAUGAUCGGUAGCUGGUCUGAGAGGAUGAUCAGCCACACUGGGAUUGAGAUACGGCCCAGACUCCUACGGGAGGCAGCAGUAAGGAAUUUUGCGCAAUGGACGAAAGUCUGACGCAGCAACGCCGCGUGAUCGAUGACGCUUCUAGGAGUGUAAAGAUCUGUCGUGAGGGAAGAAAAACUUGGAUGUAAAUAAUGUUCAAAUUUGACGGUACCUUACAAGAAAGCACCGGCUAACUUCGUGCCAGCAGCCGCGGUAAUACGAGGGGUGCUAGCGUUGUCCGGAAUUACUGGGCGUAAAGGGUCCGUAGGCGUUUUGCCAAGUUGAUCGUUAAAGCCACCGGCUCAACCGGUGAUAUGCGAUCAAAACUGGUAGAAUAGAAUAUGUGAGAGGAAUGUGGAAUUCCUGGUGUAGCGGUGACAUGCGUAGAUAUCAGGAGGAACACCAAUGGCGAAGGCAACAUUCUGGCACAAUAUUGACGCUGAGGGACGAAAGCGUGGGUAGCGAACAGGAUUAGAUACCCUGGUAGUCCACGCCGUAAACGAUGAGUACUUGAUGGUGGAGGANUCGAUCCCUUCACUGUCGGAGCUAACGCGUUAAGUACUCCGCCUGGGGAAUACGGCCGCAAGGCUGAAAC
rnacentral:rRNA from 1 species